rnacentral:tRNA from 1 species
GCCUGGGUGGCUCAGUUGGUUGAGCGUCUGACUUCAGCUCAGGUCAUGAUCUCGCAGUUCGUGAGUUAGAGCCCCGCAUCGGGCU